UAAGGUCUAAUUCUUCUUUCCUAAUUUUCUCAUAAAUUUUUUCAUCAAAUAUUAUCUGUUGUUUAUCAUAAUCUAUGUCUUGUGUAUAAUUUAUUAUUAUAUUUUUAUCACUUGUUUCUCCUAUAUUAUUAUUUGUAAAAUUCCUUAAAUUGUAAUUUCUUCAAAUGUAUUUUUUAUUUCUUCUCUUAUAGUGGUUUCUAAUUUGUUUAGGAUAUUUUCUACUACAUCCAUAUUUACUUGGUUUAUCUUUUGUACAACAUAACUGUAUAUCUGAUUGUAAUAAAUUUCUAAUAUUUGUCGCUUGAGUACAUNNNNNNNNNNNNNNNNNNNNNNNNNNNNNNNNNNNNNNNAUAUUCUUCAUAGUAGCAUAAAUCACAAAUAACUAAAUUUAAUAGGUUAUUUCUUGCUUUUUCUAUAUUUUUACGAAUCAUUGAAUUUUCUGCUCCUGUCGUACUAAAUUCGGCUGGAUAUUACAAAAUUUUGAAGUAUUUUACUUACAUCUGUUGCAGGCUGUGCAUUAGCAUCUGUAGAUGCAUGUAAUGCCUUUAUCAUUUCUUCUUCUAAAUUUUCAUACCAUUCUUUAACAUUUCCUACUAAGGUGGCUACAAUAUAUUGUACUACUUUUUCUAUAGGUAUUUUUGUUUCUAAAAUCGUUUUCUCUGUUUUUGCUGACGAUUUUUAUUUCCUUAGUUAUAUCUUCGGAACAGUCUAAGUCUAAAAAAGAGCUAGUGUUAUCUCCUGUAGAUGUUUUUACUAUUUCUGCUAUGCCUUUUAUUAAUCUUCCAUAUUUUAUCAUUUCUAUGUUGUUUUGAAUAAUCUGUUUUUUCAUAAUAACUUCUUUUUUUAUAAUCUUUAUUCUCUUCCUGUUGCGAAAGUUGUAUAAAAUCCUUUUCUAUUUAUUAGACUAUCUGGUUUAGUCAUAUUUAUAUGAUUUGUUAUUAUAUCUUCAUCUUUAAUUGUAUCUUUUAAUUUAUUAGUUCCUAUAUAUAAUUUAUUUAUUUUAUUUAUCAAUAUAAACAGAAAGUAAAGUAAUACCUGGCUAAAUUUGCAGAACUCUAGAUUUUAUUUAUUACAAAUAUAUUACAACUGAGUUACAAAGAUAGAAAGAAAGGAGAGAAAUCUUAGAGAGAGAGAGAGGGAUUUCUGAAAGCCUGCCCUCUAUCUAAGUAUUCCUAGACCCAGUACAAAUAGUACUUUAGAGCCUAAUCCAAUUUUUAAGCCUCCUGAAUUUCGAAGGGAAAUGUUUCCCAAACUUAGUGAUAACAUUUCUGUCUCGGGUAAGCUCGUAGAACAGAUCACUGAAAAGUUAGCCCAUUUUCAUGUCACUGACAAGAAUAAGGCUAAAACUCCGAUCGUUCCUAACUCUUCCAUAUCCAAGGAAGCUUCUGGUUCUCCUAAAGAAGGCAAACCUUCCACUUCCGAGAGUGUCCGUACACUAACUGACAACUCCCUCCAUAAACUUUCCGAUCGUUAUCCUAAUAGGAGAACUAUUACAAACGACCCUCCUUUCCUGAUACUCAGUAUGAGGAAGAUGGAUUCCAGUCUCAAUCAUCUCAUGAUGGAAGAGGCAUAGUCGAAUGGAAUAUUGAUGGUCUUGCUGAACAUCAAAUCUAUCGUGUUCUACACGAAAUGGGUGUUUGUAUAUCCAGCUAUAAGUUGCGUAAUUCUUCAGAUAAAGAAGCAGCUGCAAUGAUCACAGCUGGCUUCACCGGAAUGCUUAGGUAUUGGUGGGAUAAUUAUGUCACCGAAGAACUUAAGCUAAACAUCCUCAAUGCUACCACUAUUAUAACUACGGUUAAAUCUGGUAGUGAUAUGGACUCAUCAGAGUCUGAAGUCAGAGAGGAUGCUUGUGCGACUUUGCUUUACCACAUUGCGAAACACUUUGUUGGUGAACCAAAGCUCUUUCAGGAUAGAAGUCUUGAAAUCCUGAACAACCUGCGUUGCCCUAAACUUAGUGAUUUUAGGUGGUAUAAAGACCAAUUUAUGGUCAAAAUCAUGACUAGACCCGACUGCAAUAGCGACUUCUGGAAAGAUAGGUUUAUUAGCGGUCUUCCUCCUCUAUUCGCCGAAAAGGUUAGGUCUAAGAUAAGGGAUAGGUGCGGUGGUAAGAUACCCUAUGACCUUAUGACGUAUGGAGACAUUAUUAGUCUUAUUAACACCACAACCUUAGAACUAUGCACUGACCUAAAACUUAAGAGUCAUCUUAAGAAGGAUAGGCUGACCUCUAGAGCCGAAUUAGGGAGUUUCUGUAGAGACUUUGGGUUUGGAAAUAUAGAUCCUCCCCCUUCACAGGUUUCUAAGAAAGAUUCUAAGAAGUCUUCCUUUAAGUCUAGAAUAUCUAGAAAAUCUAGAAAAAACAUUUCUAAGGAUAAACCUUUUCCUUCCAAAAAGAAAUAUAGGAAGAAAAAACCCUCUCAUAAAGAGGAUGUAUGCUGGAAUUGUGGUAAGUCUGGUCAUAGAGCAAAUCAGUGUAAAUCUUCUAAACGGAAUAAGAAGAUUAACCUUUUAGGUUUAGAUGAGGAUAUUAAAGAAAAAAUCUUUUCUAUCCUUCAGGAAAGCGAUUCUGACUCCAGUGGUACAGAGUCAGACGAGUACAGUGAUGAAGAAAACAUCAAUGUAGCCUACGAGACUGAUGAAAGUCAGUCCGAACAUGAUGAUUCAUGUGAAGAAUCAUGUGAAGGUAUUUUUUGCGGGUGUAAUUCAAACACCGUUAGUGUAAUUACUUCUGAUUCCAAAGAAGUAUUGUUUGAUAUUAUAGAUCACAUCAAAGACGAUGAAUCUAGGACUAGAUAUUUGACUGAACUCAAGAAAAUUAUUCUUGAUUCAGACUCUAAAAAGCCUUCUCCUUCCAGGACUAUAGAACCCUUUAGCAUGAAACAAGUUUUUAACAGAUUUGAUAAACCAACCGAGCCUUCCAUCUCUGACUUGCGCAAGGAAAUGAAUUCCCUUAAGCAAGAGGUUAAAGAAUUAAAAUCUCGUCUCGAUAAAAUAGAAAUGGAAGCUCUAACUUCCCAAGUCCUUGAUAAUGUCCCUGUAACGGACAAAGAAAUUGACGAUUCUUUUCUUGAAAAAGAAUUUGAUUUACCUGGAGAAUCUAUUGAUCCAAGACUACAAAGUAACGACGCUAAUACUGCUGGACCUUCGGUAGCAGCAAUUAGAUCUAUCAGUCAGCAUAUACCAAUCAAAUUGGUAAUUGCUAAAAACUUUGUUAUUAACAAAGUUGCUCUUUUUGAUAGUGGGGCCGAUCGCAAUUGUAUUGUCAAAGGCCUUAUCCCGUUGAAGUACCUUCAAAAGGGUACCACUCGUUUAUAUUCCGCUACAGGAGAGCGGAUGAAAAUAGAUUACAAAUUGUCUAAAGCCCAUAUCUGUAAUAAUAAUAUCUGCUUUACGAAUGAUUUUGUAAUAACCGAAAAUCAAUGAAGAUAUUAUUCUUGGCAUACCGUUUAUUAGUCAGUUAAAACCAUAUACUGAUGAUUUGAAUGGUAUUCAUGCUUGUAUCCUCGGUCAAGAGGUAUUUUUCCCUUUUUUAAAACACAGUAAAACAGUAUAUAAAUCAGUACAAAAGAUUUAAAGACUUACUUAAAAACAAGCUUUAUUUCAUAAACCUGAAGGAGACUUACAAAGUUGAGAAGAUGAUUACAAAGGUAGAGAGAGAGAGAGUGCCUAAAAUUUUCUAAGAUUGGAAAAAAUUGGACCUGCCCUCUAAAUACAAACGAGAGUCUUAUAUAGACCUCUGACAAGAGAAGAGUGCAUCAUCUCUUACUAACAAGUGGACGGCUCCGAUGUUGCCGACAAAAGGUGGGGUUCUUUACUAAUUAAAGUAACACGUGAACCCAUGUGAAGGAUAAGAUUCCUUCUGACAGUAGUGGUCCUUAGUGGACAUUACUUUUGACUGGGGACCAACAUGCUCUCCCAAAGAAAGUUUGUUUUUAAAGGCAAAACUAUUUUCAAACUAAAUCGUUUGUCUGAUCAUAUUUCUUUUAUUAAAGAAGAAAUAAAAAUUGAAAGAAUAAACAAACUUUAAAAACCCCGGGAAUGAUGUCUAAGAUAGAUUCCCUUUUGAAAAAAUUUGAAAAUGAAGUUUGUUCUAAUCUACCCACUGCUUUUUGGAAAAUAAAAAAGCAUUCUGUGGCAUUACCCUAUAUUGAUGGUUUUGAUGAACGAAAUAUUCCUACUAAAGCUAGGCCUAUUCAGAUGAACCAUGAAAUGGUUGAAAUCUGUAAGACUGAGAUUAACCAUUUACUCGAGAAUGGAAUUAUCAGUCCCUCUAACUCUCCUUGGAGUUGUUCUGCAUUUUAUGUCAAUAAUAGUGCAGAAAAGGAAAGAGGUGCCCCUAGGCUUGUUAUCAAUUAUAAGCCUUUAAAUUCGGUUCUCAAAUGGAUCCGACAUCCAAUCCCUAAUAAAAGGGACCUCCUUAAACGAACCUAUAAAGCAAACCUUUAUAGCAAGUUUGAUAUGAAGUCUGGAUUCUGGCAAAUCCAGAUUAAUAAAGAAGAUAGAUAUAAAACUGCAUUCAAUGUGCCUUUUGGUCACUAUGAAUGGAAUGUUAUGCCUUUUGGGCUAAAGAAUGCCCCUUCUGAAUUUCAAAAUAUCAUGAAUGGGAUUUUCAAUCCUUAUUCUUAUAUGUUGAUUGUUUACAUUGAUGAUGUAUUAAUUUUCUCUGAGGACAUUGAUUCUCAUUUUAAGCAUCUUUCUACAUUUUUAAAUGUUGUGAAAACCAAUGGUUUGGUAGUUAGUGCCAAAAAGAUUAGGCUCUUCCAAACUUCUAUUAGAUUCCUAGGCCAUGACCUAUACCAAGGAACUUAUAAACCCAUCUGUAGGGCUAUAGAUUUCUCAUCCAAAUUCCCUGAUGAAAUUAGGGAUAAAACCCAACUUCAGAGAUUCUUAGGAAGUCUUAACUAUGUUGCUGACUUCAUUCCUAAGGUUAGACAUAUUUGUGAGCCUUUAUAUCUUAGGCUUAGAAAAAAACCUAUUCCAUGGGGAAAUGAGCAAACCCGGAGUGUUAAGAAGAUUAAGAGAUUAGUCCAAAAUCUUCCUUGUUUAGGGAUACCCAAUCCCGAUGCUUUUAUGAUAGUUGAAUCAGAUGCCUCGGACAUAGGUUAUGGAGGUAUCUUAAAACAGCAAAUAGACCCUAAUAGUUGUGAGCAACUUGUGAGGUUUACUUCUGGUAUCUGGAAUAAUACCCAGAAUCCAAUAGUUGUGAGCAACUUGUGAGAUUUACAUCUGGUAUCUAGAAUAAUACCCAGAAAAAUUAUAGUACCGUCAAAAAAGAGGUUUUAUCUAUUGUACUUUGUAUUACUAAAUUUCAAGACGAUUUAGUAAAUAAAGAAUUUUACUUCGGGUUGAUUGUAAAUCGGCCAAAGAAAUUUUACAAAAGGAUGUUAAAAAUCUGGUUUCUAAACAAAUUUUUGCUAGAUGGCAAGCUCUACUGUCUAGCUUCGAUUUCAAAAUUGAUUUCAUUAAAGGUGAAAAUAAUUCCCCACCAGACUUUCUAACCAGAGAAUUUCUCCAGGGCCAUGAAGCCAUCAAAGACUAGCCCAUUCAAAAAUGUCAAGACUGAAAGGCAACUUCAAAGAGUUAGACCUUUCGUGCCCACUAGUUUGGCCCAAUUAAGGCCUUCCUUUCCUCCUCUUCCUAGUCCGGCCCAAAGCCAAAACAAGUUUACUGUUUUAGGAGAACUUCCAAAACUCCCAGGCCCAAAGCCUGAAUCCUCCUCUGGAUCCACUUCUAAGGUCCAAAACAAAUCUAGUUACGAAAUGAAGACCCCCGAGUCCUUUGCCCAAGCCGUGGACCCUAAAGUCCAAAUUCAAAAUCCUUCUUCUCAGCCCAUUGAGACUUUUGAAUUCUUAACCAUUAAGGUUUCUCCCAUCUUAGCCCUCGAUAAAGAGUUCGAAUCAGGUCGAGUCCAAGACCUUCUAAAGCCUUGUUACAAUUCAUCUAACUACGUUGAUAGUUCUGCCCCUCUUCAUACUCGCCUUUAUUUUGAGGCCAUCUUAGUUGACACAGAUUCCAUUGAAAUAGAACAUGUUUAUUCUGAUAGGAAUCCUGAUUUCAUUUUAUAUUCCCAGUUUACAAUUAGGAAGAUUCUAUCUCCUUUUGAAUGGCAUGUUGACCAUCUUCUUACUCCCAUACGUCUUAGUAUGAACCAUAAACCCCAGACAUACAACUGGUAUACCUACCAACAAGCUUGGUAUAAUUUCAUGUAUCUUAGACCAGGUCAUACUUGGUUUAUUAAAUACAGUCCUGAAGUAAUUAAAGCCAAUCUUAGACCAGGUCAUACUUGGUUUAUCAAAUACAGUCCUGAAGUAAUUAAAGCCAUUAUUCCUAGAUGGUUCUACGAUUGGUGGAAGACCUUUGGAGGAAAAUUAGAAAACCUCCCACAACAAUUUCUUAAGAAAUUCGAAAAUUUCCAAACCACACAAGAGAUCACUACUCUUCCUUCCCACAUCAAAAUGUGUAAGUAUUACAUCCAAAAGAGGAUUUCUUUUAUCAUCAGCUGGGACUUCAAAGUUGCAGAAUUCGAUAGGAUUAGAUACCUAUCCAAAGAAAUAAAAGUUAAGGGUUGGGUUCCAAAAAGGCAUCAACACCAGAUAAGGGAAAGAUUGUCGUGGGGAAGACAUCUCCACAGUCCAAGUCAUCCAAAGCAGAAAUCAAGAAGAAGCUCCAGAAGGCUCUUCAAGAUAUUGACAACCAGGAUGAAGAAACUAUUAUGCAGCUUCUCGAAGAAGCUACGUCGUCGGCUGAGUCAGGAAACGAUGAUAUGUGUAAUCCCAAAGGUAUAGCACAAGCAUAUCUAGAAGGAUAUUAUGACUAGAAUUUACUUUUCUGAAGAGUCAAUUUACUAUUCUGCAAAGAAUAUUUUAAUUUCGGUGGGAAUGCCCACUUGGUGUCCUGUGAAUACCCACUUUAUCACUACCUUCCAAAAGAAGGAAAAACUGAGGGGUAUGCGUCAAUUAUUUGUCCACUAAGGUCAUUGUCAUAUCUGACCACUAAGGUCAAAAAGUUGGGUCCCAUAAUGGUCCGCAGACAAAAGUAAUGUCGUCCACUAAGGACCACCAUUGUCAGAAGGAAUCAUUAUCCUUCACAUGGGUUCAUUAUUAAAGAAACCCACUAUCUUUUGUCGGCAAGAUCUGAGCCGUCCACUUGUUAGUAAGAGAUUCACUCUUCUUUUGUCAGAGGUCUAUAUAAAGACUCUCGAGUGUAUUAAGAAGGCAGGUCAAAAUUUCCACUCUAGAAAAUUUAGGCACUGCACUCUCUCUCUCCUUCUCUCUCUCCUUGUAAUUAUCUCUUUGGUCUGUAUUUCACCUUCGGGUUUUAUGGAAUAAAGCUUUUAAUUCUGUAAGUCUUUAUUGUUUUAUACUCUGAUAGGAUCAAAGUAGAUUGGUAUAAUGCCACUUACUCUAAGAGCCAAAAAGCUCUUUUCGAAAAGCAAUGGAUUUCCGGUAUGAAACGUUUAAAGUGCGACAUAGAGUUCUUUAAAUGGUUCGUAAUAACUGGAAAACUGGACGACCAAAAAGAGUCCUUGCAAGUUCUAGUUAAUAAGUGGUAUACCCAGACAAAUAAAGUGGUCGAAUCUACUACUCCCCCAUUAGAAGGAAUCAAAAUUCCUCAUUCCAAUCAUAUUAUUCCUGCUUCUCCAUUCAAGCUUAAAAGCAGUAAUCCAGCAAGUCAGCCAUCUAAUGCUGACAUAGACAAAAUUGUCGAACAAAACAACUAUACAAAUAAGUUGUUACAUACGGUUUCUUUGCAAAUAGAAGAAACAUGCCCAAAAUUGAAUUUUAGGACUCCUAGUCUAAGUAUUCCUAGACCCAGUACAAAUAGUACUUUAGAGCCCAAUCCAAUUUUUAAGCCUCCUGAAUUUCGAAGGGAAAUGUUUCCCAAACUUAAUGAUAAUAUUUCUGUCUCGGGUAAGCUCGUAGAACAGAUAACUGAAAAGUUAGCCCAUUUUCAUGUCACUGACAAAAAUAAGGCUAAAACUCCAAUCAUUCCUAACUCUUCCAAGGAAGCUUCUGGUUCUCCUAAAGAAGGCAAACCUUCCACUUCCGAGAGUGUCCGUACCCUAACUGACAACUCCCUCCAUAAACUUUCCGAUCGAUAUCCUAAUAGGAGAACUAUUACAAACGANNNNNNNNNCACUAAGGACCACUACUGUCAGAAGGAAUCUUAUCCUUCACAUGGGUUCACGUGUUACUUUAAUUAGUAAAGAACCCCACCUUUUGUCGGCAACAUCGGAGCCGUCCACUUGUUAGUAAGAGAUGAUGCACUCUUCUCUUGUCAGAGGUCUAUAUAAGACUCUCGUUUGUAUUUAGAGGGCAGGUCCAAUUUUUUCCAAUCUUAGAAAAUUUUAGGCACUCUCUCUCUCUCUACCUUUGUAAUCAUCUUCUCAACUUUGUAAGUCUCCUUCAGGUUUAUGAAAUAAAGCUUGUUUUUAAGUAAGUCUUUAAAUCUUUUGUACUGAUUUAUAUACUGUUUUACUGUGUUUUAAAAAAGGGAAAAAUACCUCUUGACCGAGGAUACAAGCAUGAAUACCAUUCAAAUCAUCAGUAUAUGGUUUUAACUGACUAAUAAACGGUAUGCCAAGAAUAAUAUCUUCAUUGAUUUUCGGUUAUUACAAAAUCAUUCGUAAAGCAGAUAUUAUUAUUACAGAUAUGGGCUUUAGACAAUUUGUAAUCUAUUUUCAUCCGCUCUCCUGUAGCGGAAUAUAAACGAGUGGUACCCUUUUGAAGGUACUUCAACGGGAUAAGGCCUUUGACAAUACAAUUGCGAUCGGCCCCACUAUCAAAAAGAGCAACUUUGUUAAUAACAAAGUUUUUAGCAAUUACCAAUUUUAUUGGUAUAUGCUGACUGAUAGAUCUAAUUGCUACUACCGAAGGUCCAGCAGUAUUAGCGUCGUUACUCUGUAGUCCUGGAUAAAUAGAUUCUCCAGGAAAAUCAAAUUCUUUUUCAAGAAAAGAAUCGUCAAUUUCUUUGUCCGUUACAGGGACAUUAUCAAGGACUUGGGAAGUUAGAGCUUCCAUUUCUAUCUUAUCGAGACGAGAUUUUAAUUCUCUAACUUCUUGCUUAAGGGAAUUCAUUUCCUUGCGCAAGUCAGAGACGGAAGGCUUGGUCGAAUCUACUACUCUCCCAUUGAAAGGAAUCAAAAUUCCUCAUUCCAAUCAUAUUAUUCCUGCUUCUCCAUUCAAGCUUAAAAGCAGUAAUCCAACAAGUCAGCCAUCAAAUGCUGACAUAGACAAAAUUGUCGAACAAAACAACUAUACAAAUAAGUUGUUACAUACUGUUUCUUUGCAAAUAGAAGAAACACGCCCAAAACUAAAUCUUAGGACUCCUAGUCUAAGUAUUCCUAGACCCAGUACAAAUAGUACUUUAGAGCCUAAUCCAAUUUUUAAGCCUCCUGAAUUUCGAAGGGAAAUGUUUCCCAAACUUAGUGAUAACAUUUCUGUCUCGGGUAAGCUCGUAGAACAGAUCACUGAAAAGUUAGCCCAUUUUCAUGUCACUGACAAGAAUAAGGCUAAAACUCCGAUCGUUCCUAACUCUUCCAUAUCCAAGGAAGCUUCUGGUUCUCCUGCAAGAAUAAGGCUAAAACUCCGAUCAUUCCUAACUCUUCCAUAUCCAAGGAAGCUUCUGGUUCUCCUAAGGAAGGCAAACCUUCCACUUCCGAGAGUGUCCGUACACUAACUGAUAACUCCCUUCAUAAACUUUCCGAUCGUUAUCCUAAUAGGAGAAACUAUUACAAACGACCCUCCUUUCCUGAU
rnacentral:lncRNA from 1 species